rnacentral:tRNA from 1 species
AGGCACGUAGCUCAGUGGUAGAGUUCUAUUUUGACGUAAUAGUUGUCGGUGGUUCGAUUCCACUCGUGCCUA